rnacentral:rRNA from 1 species
UGCUGGAGGUAUCAGAAGUGCGAAUGCUGACAUAAGUAACGAUAAAGCGGGUGAAAAGCCCGCUCGCCGGAAGACCAAGGGUUCCUGUCCAACGUUAAUCGGGGCAGGGUGAGUCGACCCCUAAGGCGAGGCCGAAAGGCGUAGUCGAUGGGAAACAGGUUAAUAUUCCUGUACUUGGUGUUACUGCGAAGGGGGGACGGAGAAGGCUAUGUUAGCCGGGCGACGGUUGUCCCGGUUUAAGCAUGUAGGCUGGUUAUCCAGGCAAAUCCGGAUAAUCAAGGCUGAGGUGUGAUGACGAGGCACUACGGUGCUGAAGUAACAAAUGCCCUGCUUCCAGGAAAAGC